UACGUAGGGGGCAAGCGUUGUCCGGAAUCAUUGGGCGUAAAGAGCGUGUAGGCGGCCAGGUAGGUCCGUUGUGAAAACUCGAGGCUCAACCUCGAGACGUCGACGGAAACCAUCUGGCUAGAGUCCGGAAGAGGAGAGUGGAAUUCCUGGUGUAGCGGUGAAAUGCGCAGAUAUCAGGAAGAACACCCGUGGCUAAGGCGGUUCUCUAGUACGGUACUGACGCUGAGACGCGAAAGCGUGGGGAGCGAACAGG
rnacentral:rRNA from 1 species